rnacentral:rRNA from 1 species
AGAGUUUGAUCAUGCCUCAGAUUGAACGCUGGCGGCAGGCCUAACACAUGCAAGUCGAGCGGUAGAGAGGUGCUUGCACCUCUUGAGAGCGGCGGACGGGUGAGUAAAGCCUAGGAAUCUGCCUGGUAGUGGGGGAUAACGCUCGGAAACGGACGCUAAUACCGCAUACGUCCUACGGGAGAAAGCAGGGGACCUUCGGGCCUUGCGCUAUCAGAUGAGCCUAGGUCGGAUUAGCUAGUUGGUGAGGUAAUGGCUCACCAAGGCGACGAUCCGUAACUGGUCUGAGAGGAUGAUCAGUCACACUGGAACUGAGACACGGUCCAGACUCCUACGGGAGGCAGCAGUGGGGAAUAUUGGACAAUGGGCGAAAGCCUGAUCCAGCCAUGCCGCGUGUGUGAAGAAGGUCUUCGGAUUGUAAAGCACUUUAAGUUGGGAGGAAGGGCAUUAACCUAAUACGUUAGUGUUUUGACGUUACCGACAGAAUAAGCACCGGCUAACUCUGUGCCAGCAGCCGCGGUAAUACAGAGGGUGCAAGCGUUAAUCGGAAUUACUGGGCGUAAAGCGCGCGUAGGUGGUUCGUUAAGUUGGAUGUGAAAUCCCCGGGCUCAACCUGGGAACUGCAUUCAAAACUGUCGAGCUAGAGUAUGGUAGAGGGUGGUGGAAUUUCCUGUGUAGCGGUGA